rnacentral:rRNA from 1 species
AGAUUGAACGCUGGCGGCAUGCCUUACGCAUGCAAGUCGAACGGCAGCACGGGGGCAACCUUGGUGGCGAGUGGCGAACGGGUGAGUAAUAUAUCGGAACGUGCCCUAGAGUGGGGGAUAACGUAGCGAAAGUUACGCUAAUACCGCAUACGAUCUACGGAUGAAAGUGGGGGAUCGCAAGACCUCAUGCUCGUGGAGCGGCCGAUAUCUGAUUAGCUAGUUGGUAGGGUAAAAGCCUACCAAGGCAUCGAUCAGUAGCUGGUCUGAGAGGACGACCAGCCACACUGGGACUGCGAACGGCCCAGACUCCUACGGGAGGCAGCAGUUAGGAAUUUUCGGCAAUGGACGAAAGUCUGACCGAGCGACGCCGCGUGGAGGAUGACGCCUUUCGGGUGUAAACUCCUUUUCUGCGGGAAGAUAAUGACGGUACCGCAGGAAUAAGCACCGGCUAACUACGUGCCAGCAGCCGC